CCUGCGGGGGAAAGAUUUAUCGCUAUUAGAUGAGCCUACGUUAGAUUAGCUAGUUGGUAAGGUAAUGGCUUACCAAGGCUGUGAUCUAUAGCUGGUCUGAGAGGACGAUCAGCCACACUGGAACUGAGAUACGGUCCAGACUCCUACGGGAGGCAGCAGUGGGGAAUAUUGGACAAUGGGCGAAAGCCUGAUCCAGCUAUGCCGCGUGAGUGAAGAAGGCCUUCGGGUUGUAAAACUCUUUCAAUAGGGAAGAUAAUGACGGUACCUAUAGAAGAAGUCCCGGCAAACUCCGUGCCAGCAGCCGCGGUAAUACGGAGGGGGCAAGCGUUGUUCGGAAUUAUUGGGCGUAAAGGGCACGUAGGUGGACUGGUAAGUUAAAAGUGAAAUACCAAAGCUCAACUUUGGGGCUGCUUUUAAUACUGCCAGACUAGAGGUCGAAAGAGGAUAGCGGAAUUCCUAGUGUAGAGGUGAAAUUCGUAGAUAUUAGGAGGAACACCAGUGGCGAAGGCGGCUAUCUGG
rnacentral:rRNA from 1 species